CCUACGGGUGACAGCAGUCGAGAAUCAUUCACAAUGGGGGAAACCCUGAUGGUGCGACGCCGCGUGGGGGAAUGAAGGUCUUCGGAUUGUAAACCCCUGUCAUGUGGGAGCAAAUUAAAAAGAUAGUACCACAAGAGGAAGAGACGGCUAACUCUGUGCCAGCAGCCGCGGUAAUACAGAGGUCUCAAGCGUUGUUCGGAAUCACUGGGCGUAACGCGUGCGUAGGCUGUUUCGUAAGUCGUGUGUGAAAGGCGCGGGCUCAACCCGCGGACGGCACAUGAUACUGCGAGACUAGAGUAAUGGAGGGGGAACCGGAAUUCUCGGUGUAGCAGUGAAAUGCGUAGAUAUCAAGAGGAACACUCGUGGCGAAGGCGGGUUCCUGGACAUUAACUGACGCUGAGGCACGAAGGCCAGGGGAGCGAAAGGGAUUAGAUACCCUGGUAGUC
rnacentral:rRNA from 1 species